rnacentral:tRNA from 1 species
GGAGGGGUGGCAGAGUGGUCUAAUGCGGCGGUCUUGAAAACCGCUGUGGGUUAACGCCCACCGGGGGUUCGAAUCCCUCCCCCUCCGCCA